AAAAGAGAACAGUGGCAGUAUCGUAGCCAAUGAGGUUUAUCCGAGGCGCGAUUAUUGCUAAUUAAAAGAGAACAGAUUAUUUGAGAAGUACACAUGGGAUGUUAGGUGGAAUGUAAUUCUCUAUAAAAGACACAUAUU